AUGAAGCUCAGUUUCGAUUGGAGUUCACUAGGUUUUGAAAGUCAGUUUCUGGGGGUUAUGAAGCUCCACAGCUGAAAGAAGAUAGUUUGUCGAUUGGAGUAACGAAGCUCAACAACUGAAACGAGGGUGGUUUCUACAAAUCCCAUGACUAUCAUCACGUUCUGUGAAGAUACGGUGCCCAAACCAUUAUCUAGAAACCAUUGCCAUCGUCGCAUUCGUCUUUGUCAUCACAGUCGUUGUCCAGCUUUGGAGUGUGGCAAGUCGCCACCGGUGUAAUAUCAACGAAUUCAAGGUUGAAUAUGUCUUAAAAUGUUCUAAAUUGUGUUUAGCCUCUGGCGAGUCUCCGGUGGCGGAGCACGAUGGUCAAAGGCGGUCUAACGGCGACAGAUUCCGUUAGAGUUGACUAAAUCUCUAACAGCAAAGGUAUAUUCCAUUAACUUUCCAACUGAAAUCCAAAACUUGGCGCACGGCCUCGACGACUACAACGACGAGUGGUGGCGAGUGACUGUCUGUACGACGGCACGUGGAGCAUCCGAGACCUAAUCUUAGGUUAUUCAAAGUCCUGAAUCACGGGGUGCAAUCCAUUUGUGUAUAUUCAUUAUCUAAAUAAUACAUUCACGAGUACAAGUUCAACUAAAUUGGGCAAAGUCUAUUCUAAAGUGGGCCCUCGAUUUUGCAUUAUUUACAUUUUUGCCAUUAUGUCUGUGGCUGUGCUUCAGCCAAAAACUCACAGAUUGUGCUUGAGAGAGAUAUAUGAGAGGAUUUGUGGAGGGAUUUCAGGGUGAAAGGCGUGGGAUGCCAAGGAGGGGAACGGAGAAGGAUGAGUGAGGCUGCCAAAAAGAGGGGUUAUGUUGAAUUUUUCUCCUCAAAUCAAGGGUUGGUGAUGGUGAUUGAGAGAUUGAGAGGGAUGGGAGAAAGACAAAAACAAACCCAUUUGUACUUCAAUUACCCUUCUUAAACCCUAGCAGCCACAACACCAACUGUAGCCGAUCCUUCAGAAUCCCAAAACCGAGCCAUCUCUGCAAUAGCAUCGACUCGUGCUUCCCAAAACCAAAACCACACAAACCUGCCCUCCAUUUAUAUAACUCGAUCGUUUCGGUGAGAUGAAGGAGAGGGAGGAGCAGGGAGAUGGGCUUGAGUCUGCGGACAGCGGAAGAGAUCUUCAGGGAUUACAGUGCUCGGAGAACCGACACCGUCCAUGCUCUGUUUGUUGGGGUGUUUUGCAGCAUCGUAGAUUUUUUUCAAGGAGUUUGCUCUGUUUGUUGUCAAGGCUGGUUCAAUUUUAAGUAAUAUUUAUGGUGUAAAUUGGGAAAACAAACUUGAGGCAAAAUAGUUGCAGGCAAAUUUUGUGUACUUGAGCCUGUUAAGCAGGUUGAAAUUAUGGCUCUAUUUUGGGGUAAUCUUUCUUCUUUUUGCUCUGGGUUUGGAGUUCUACACAACAAAGCAACGCGCGGGCAUAAUUUCUAGUGAUUUCUGAACCACUGAAUGAGUAUGAUUUCGAUUGAUGAACUUGUUGAGAUUUCCAUUUACCAUAUAUGGUAGUCAAUACUGGACCUAGCGAGAGCGAUUGUUGAGGAGGACGAGUGGGCUUGGCAGUAGUGUAGACUUCCUAUGGAGUAUGGUAGUUUUACUUAUGCUUUAUCAUUUUCGAGUUGUAAUAAUAUGCAUGAUCGUACUUUUUGAUUAUGCAUGGUUGAACACAUACUCUUGUGUUGUGUUCUACUAUUGCUUGCACUACUUUUAUGCUCUGAAUGAUGUGAUAAUAAUGGGUUGAACCCAAAUAUGUCCCCAAGUGGGGAGGUUGUGUAGGAACUUGCAAAAGUUUUUAAAUAAUUAAUAAACGAGCCUUUUGGUUCAAAUUUAUUCAU
rnacentral:sRNA from 1 species